rnacentral:rRNA from 1 species
AUGGAUCUUUUUCAUAUUUGUUUGUGUGCCCAUAGGGUCCCUCUGUUUAAGUGCACUCCUCCAACUAGCGAUGAAUUUAUAGUUGAUGCUAAAUAUCUGGUUACCUGCUUUGGUCCCGCUGGCUGCAUUGAUACUGAGUUGAUGGAUCUUGUGAUCAGCUAUUGGAAGGGAAGCCCUGAGUGCAAUCAUGUGUACAAAUCCGGAGAUAGGGUGUUGCUAAACCCGUAUGUGAUAAAUUAUCUUCUGGAAAUUGGUCCGUACCAUCGGCCAGUUGAUGAAGAUGGGCAGGAGGUCCUGACCGCACUUGAAUGUUAA